GGGGCUGUCAGUCCCGCGCCCGCCGCCGCCGCCGCCGCCGCCGCCGCCGCCGCCGCGGUUCCUUACAUGCGGUGGCCCGGGUGGCUGCCAGCGCUGCCGCCCGCUGCCCGCCGCCCCGGCAUCCCGAGCUGCCUCCCGCCGUGCCGGCCCGGCGCGCAGGUGUACAGGAAAGAAAUGCACAAAAUCCUGACCGAUCGGAAUAAUUCAUGAAGAAGGGGCUGGAUCCGUGGGUCAGAGAACACAGGACCAGUCUGCGUCCCAAGACCGAAGUCUGGUGUCUUGGAUUUGGCCCUGCGUUGCCCACUCCUGCUGGAUCUUGUCCAGUCGAGGGACAAAAACGUCCUGACACCCUCCUGAAGAACGGGAAGAGAGGAGAUUCUGAAGGCACAGAUGGCAAUACGUGCCAGAGGCGGAGGAAACCGAUGCCUAAGGGGGUUGCCCCCACACCAGCAGGAGCACCGAGGAGGCGGGAGCCGGAGGCACGCAGGCCCAAGAAGGGUAGAAAUACCAGCAAUGACCAAGGCUGUCAUAGCAGUUCCCGGGCUGGCCAUCCAGGCCCCACCGGAUGGAGGACACAGCGGCUCUCGCUUUGCAACUGCGCAAGCUGCACCAAAGGCCAGAGACGCUGAAGAAGCAGCGUGAAUCCCGAAGCUUUCAGAAUAACCCGGAGAAAGCUGUCCGUUGAGUGGCAGCCCGUUUUGCCGCGGGACGUUGUAAGAAGAGACCUCCCCUUCCUCACCGCUCCCAUCCUCCCUGGACGCCCGUCCUCAUGGGCUCUGAAGACCUCGCAUCCCCCUCGAAGCGUGCUGCUCCUGCUUCAGCCGUGGUAGUUCUGCUUAACCUUCUCUAUGAGAAAAUGUUCAUUUUUUUUUUCCUCCCUCCACCUUCUGGAUUGAACUGUCUUACCUGAAACGGGGUGGUUUUAGGCUAGAAGCACCUCUAGACAUUCCUGUUUCUCAGACAUUGCCGAGCUCGUGGCACAUGUGUUUCAUCUGUGACUAGGGGGCCACUUCCGACAGAUGCUACCUGGCCUGGGCCGUGUGUCGCCUGUGGGCUCCUUGGUGCCUCUCUUCCCUCCCCCGCCCUGUCCCAGGUGAGACGCAGCCCGCCUCUCCGGGUGAGGACCCUACGUGGGGCAGAAGGGCUUUGGCUGGAUGUGCGAGGGAACGUGUGGGCUGGUGGGACCAUCUUUUUUGUGAAUUCAGGGGCUCCUGGAGCAGGGCUUUGUCCCUGGGUGGGGAAGGUAGCUUCAGAGAGGCCAUCUCUUCGCCCAGGGUCCUUCUGCUUCUACGCUCUCAACUCUCACUCUUGCCUUUUAGCAUCUUUCUUUUUUUCACUUAGAAGUAACUUUGUUAUUUUUCAUUACUGCAAAGCAGCACAUGCUUAUAACAAAAACAUCGGAUGUGUAGACAAAAAACAGAAAAAAUUAGCCCCGCAUCCUCUUUGUGCCAAAGACAGCCAUGGAGACACUGUUGAAGAAUCUUCCAGGUCCCUUUCGAGGCGUUUACUAUCAUACACAUGAAUGUAUAUCAUAUAUCCAUAUGUCGUAUAUACGUCAUUGUGAUGUAACGAUACCACACAUAUUCUUUGAUAAUAUGUGGUGUGUAACGUCUUAUCACAAACAGCCUUUCUAUAACAGCAAACUUUUUUGGGGGGUCUUUUUUUGUCUUUUGGGGGCCGCAACUGUGGCAUACAGAUGUUCCCAGGCUAGGGGUCCAAUCGGAGCUGUAGACGUCGGCCUACGCCACAGCCACAGCAACAUGGGAUCCGAGCUGCAUCUGCAACCUACACCGCAGCUCAUGGCAACGCCGGAUCUUUAACCCACUGAGUGAGGCCAGGGAUGGAACAUGCAUCCUCAUGGAUGCUAGUUGGGUUCGCUAACUGCUGAGCUGCGACGGGAACGCCAGCGAACUUUUUUUUUUUUUUUUUAAUGAUGAAGUGAUGCCUCUAAUUAUAGAAGAAAAAACUGAGGCAAAAACGUAAGGUCAUUUACAAAAGCUGAGGCUGCUAAGUCAUUUGGUGUUGGAACUGAAGCUAAGCAGAUCCAGCUCCUGGAAUGCACACGCACCCCGUUUUGGGGGGGCUGUGAGUUCUAUGCGUCUGCAGCGACUGCAAUGUAAGAAUCCCCCGCUACAGAGCUGAUACCGCUGUUUAGUUCCUUAAUCUCAUAGGGUGCCAUGCUUAGGUUGUUUCCAGCUUUUCCCUACCGUAAGCAGCGUCAGGGGACACGCUGCUUCUGGUUUAACCUACUCAGUUGUUUCCUUGCUGUACGUGCCCAGAGGAGGUCAAAGGAAGGAACUUUGGAAAGAACUCCACGUGUGGAGCCAGCGUUAACUUCUGUUGAUGGGAACUUUUUCAAAUAUUUCCUUAUAAAAGUAACCAUCUCACUUAGGAAAACACGGGAACGAGAGGAGAGGACCCCUCUCACCCCGUCUCACCAGCAUUAACUGCCCGGUACCCAUCGUGCACCAAGCGGCUGCUGGAAGGUGGCAGGUGCCCUUUCUUAGAUGCCACCGCACAUCCCCACUUGGGAGCUCUGGCUUCCUUUGCCUUCCGCAGACCAUAGCACACCCACCGAUGAAGGCUAAAGUAAGCAGGUGGCGAGUGAGGGAUCGGCGUUGUCUCUCUGGGUUUGGUGCGGGGUGUAUCUCCGGACUCCUCCCUGAAGGCUGAGAGAUGGCCACCGUUCAUUCAUUCACGCAGGACCUACUUGGGGAGCAGCCACUGUUGCCAGGUGCCACGCUGGAGGCUACGAGGGCAGAGGAGGAUUAAACCCGGCCUCCAUCCUCGGGAAGAUCACAGCCUAGAGCAGGUCAACGACGAGUCACACACAGUUACUCCACAGCACGGUACCGGGGAAGGAUGUCCCUUCAGUUCUAUAUCUCGAGGCAAAAAAAGUGCAACAAUUGGAAAUCCCCAAAGGAAAAACAGGAAAAUCCCACGCCGUCCACUCGCGGGCCGGUUCACGGCAGUUGUCAUUUUCAAGUGUGUCCUUUGAGGCUUCGCGGGCUUGUGAUCCCCCACGGGGUGCAGCCUCCUCGAAGGCGCUGCGUCCUGCACCCGCACCUCCGGAGAUGCUGGCACCGUCCUAGACGGCUGAUUCCGAAGCCUGCUCCGUGUGAAUCCAAAUGAGCAGAAGCAGAAUUUAAGGUGAAGGGAUUCAUGAAUUGAAACAGCGUCUCCAUGUGUUAUGUAUGUCGGGAAAUUUGCAUUAAUUCAUAGCCUUCUGUUGAUGGAAACCUUUUCAAAUAUUUCGUUAUGGAAGUAGCAGCCUCACUUGAGAAACUACAGGAACGAGAGGAGGGGACCCCUCUCACCCCGUCUCACCGUCCUAACCCAGGGCUGGUGGCCUUUGGGUGGGUUUCAUCCAGAAAGAAUUUCUGUGAAGAUGGGGUUAAGGGGAGGCCUAUAUGAGGUUUUUUUUUUAAGUUCUUUCCCAUUUUAAUUUUUAAUUUAACAUGUUUAAUAGUUAAUUACAUUCACAUAGUUCAAAAUUCCAAGAGUAAAAAGGCACAGAGAAUGAAAAGUCUGUAUCCCAGCCAUCGAGUCCCCGGGAGGGACCAGGAGAAUCAGGUUCUUGCGUGUCCUUCUAAAGCUUUAUCAUGCAUAUAAACCAUAUGCACAUAUAAAAUAUGAAUUUCCCGUAGAAGUCUUGGUAAUGCCAUCACUAAAUAUGCUAGGUUUGGUCGGAACUGUCCUGUAGAUAUUAGUUCAGGCCUGCAGUACAGACGGAGAAGAGAGAAAGCAGCGGAAUGGAGUGUGCGAGUGUGUGUGUGUGUGUGUGUGUGUGUGUGUGUCUAGGUGUUGUUGCUGAAGGAGAAAGGGAGGGGACAAGAAGCAAAGAGGAAGAGCAGUUAUUCCUUAUUUAUACAUUGGUUCAACCAGUUUUUAUUGAGCAUCUAUUACAUGCCAGAUACUGUUGAGACCCAGGAGAAUCAGGAGUGAGCCAGAGGACAAAAUUCCCUGUCCUCAUGCAUAUUCAUUAAAAAUGGAAGGUGGCAGACACCAAGCAUAAAAACUACAUAAUCACACAGUCGGUUAGAAUGUGAUGAGUGCUGCGGAAAGAAUUAAGUCGGGUUCAGAAGAUGGGAGACUCAGGAAACAAUUUUACAGCGAGCCGGCAGGGCGGGUUUGGGAAGGGCCGCGUGAGUAUAGACUGGAAGGAGGCAAGAGAGCGAGCCCGUGGAUGUCCAGGGAAGGAGCCCAUGUCGGUGGUGCAAAGGCCCUGAGGCACAAGUGUGAGUCCUGGAGGGCCAGCGGCAGCCACCCCCAGGCUGCCCCUGGUGCCCUCUGCACUGAUGCUGGCCCCCUGGGAUCCCGAAGAACCCAGGCUUAGGCGCUGGGUUCUGUCUAUGGUGCCGAGAUCGUUCUAUACUAGAUGUUACUUUUUCCUUUCUCUAAAUUUUACCCCUAAUGAUUUUUUUUACCCCUGCCCCCUUUUGGUGGUGCCUGCAGCAUGCAGACGUUCCCUGGGCCAGGGAUCGAAUCUGUACCACAGCAGCGACCCAAGCCGCUGCAGUGACAGUGCUGGACCCUUAACCUGCUGCACCACAAGGGAACUCUCGCCUAAUGGUUAAUUUUGCUCCUUCCGAGAUAAUUCUGUGGCCUGGAAGUUGAUUUAAGGAAAGAAGGGGAGCGGCAUCACUGCAAUAGAAAAAGCAAGAUCGAGACUUGGGGGUCCUUGGGUUCCAAACAGAUCCUGCCGCAUAUUUCAAGCCUUUUGGGCACAGGGCUCUACCUCUCUGGUCUUCCGUGUCCUCGUUUAGAAAUUGCAAAGGGUGUCCUUUGGUGGCUUUGGGGCUGUUCUCGGACUCUGAAGCCAGUAAGAUGGGAAGUGGCGUGGAGUGAUGUCUAGUGAGACGGCAGGGGAGGCCCUGGGACUUCUGCCAGCAGAGGACUCUGGGCACAGGCUAAUAUGUGCCGCCGCCGGUUUUCACGCCUAGACUCGAAGAGCUCGGCUUCACCCUUAAAAUGGAACAUUCCAUCCGAGUCCGUCCAGAAUCCCCGGUGAUAACAGAGGCCACACCGCUGAUGGCGUUCGUCUCCUCGGUUCCUCUGCGCCCUCGAGGCGUCGGCUUCCCCCCUGCGCUGCGCUGCGCGGGUCCUUCAGUCUGCAGGGAGCGUGACCCUGGUGGGGUCUGGGGCUCCUCUUUUUUUCUCUUUGGCCCCAGAGAGUCCCUGCCCGUCUCACUCUCAUCAUCUGGGAUGCCUGGCGUCUUCCCUCCGCUCUGGCGAUGAGGACGUGGGGAGGGGACGGAGUGUGUCAUGGGCAUCCCAUUGUCCCGUGUGGCACAAAAUCACUAUGAAUUUCACAGUGGGACCGUGUGUGAGAGGCUGUGGGGGCAGAGCUAGAGCCGGCAGCCGUUUCAUUUGGGGGGAAGAAGGUUCAACCCGAAUCGAAGCCUUUCCUCUUUCACUUUACGAGGCUGAAUCGCCUUUGCUUUUCGUUACUCUCUUGCUUAUGCCUCAGCGCUUCCUCUGUUUGGUUGGUUGGUUGGUUGCCUUAAAUGACACAUCUUGUUUAGCAUCCUUGGCUGCGUUUAGGGCAGCAGGGCAACAGAGGAGUGGCUUCCAAAACUGGGGUUCUCUUCCUUUCCUGGAGCUUUUUAUUUUAAGUGGGAGCACGGCGCUCGCUCAGCCUUGGGGAGACAUGGACCCAUUCACGUGCCUUCCAUGAACGAUGGGGUCUGAGAUGUUUGGUUUGUUGAACUUCUGAUUUGUCGUCUCUUCCCCAUGGCUUUUAAGAGCAGAGACAAAAAUUCCCCCCUUACUUCUGACCGUUCCUGUGAUGCCCUUUGUCUCCGUCGACUGUUGAGAGAGGAAUUUUAUUUGGAAUAUUCAUAACAAGUCUAUCACUAAUUAUCACUUUAACAGUGUGUUAUGGAGCGUAUCCAUGCAGUCAUCUGGAAAGGCACAUAUGCCAUGAAAUUUGGGAUUUGCUGGGUACCGCGUGUGCCCACUCUGAGUGUUUCAUCAGCUCUUUGCUCCGGGAGGAAGCAGAGGUGCUUUGCAAGGGAGGUUGGAGGAUGGACCUGGCAGCUAAAUGCCUGCGCCUCCCUUUCUGUCCUCAUAGCAACAAUUGCCAGGGUGAGUUGCUUUCUAGUGUAUAAGAAAAGCCUCUUAACUUUCUCACACCGAAGCCUCCCUCUGGAAAGCGACGCAGAUCGGAGCAGAGGCCACCCCGGGUCAACACCCCAAGGGCAGAUCGCAGGCGAAGAGGAGCCUGCGGGCUUCAGUGUCUUCCUCGCACUCUGGCAAGAGGGCGGGGGCUCAGAUCUCGUCCGGUGAGCAGCCCUCGGAAGCAAAGGCAAAGGAGCGUCGCCCUCUCGGGAGAGGUCAAGAAUGCACACGCCACUUUUUCUCCCUCCUUCUGCUCUCUCUUCUCCCGGGAAGGAGAAUGAACUCAUGCUGGGUUCCUUCUUGAGGGUUCUCGGUGGGCCUGAGCUUUGGGAAUGGAGGAUUACGGUAUCGCAGAGGCACGGGGAGCUCUUUCCACCAAGACCUCCUGAUGGAAGUGGGUGAAUCAAGCCCCAGGGGCUGCCUGCAAACGAGGCCCAGAGUAAUGGAGCGUAAUGGAGCCAAGCUCCUGGUUGAAGAGUUCAGUCCUGCUGCAGUAAUAAAUCAAGAAGCCUUUACGGGAGGCCAGUCAUGGGUCAGCGGGGAGCCAUCCGCCAAACCUGGCUUUGUGCGACUCCGGGGAGCUUUGUGGGUCCUGCUUUUAACCUGAGUGGGGGAUUCAGGCCCAGUCUUUUCUGGAUUUCCUUGGAAAGGGCUGAGGGAUGUAAUUUGGAUGGUUGUCGAGGUGAGUCUUAUAAUGAGCUAUUUAUAAUGAGUUUUUAUGGCACUUGGAGCCUGGUGUUGCUAGAUGUUACUUCAGAAAUAAUAACAGUAUUAUUAUUUUUGCCGAGGACUUACUGUAUUCCAGGCCCAUUAUUCAUCAAAAUCAUUAACAAGCAGCAUUAAUGGAGCGAGCAUUUGUGGUAGAGCAAACCCUUAAGCACUUUAGAUACUUACCUUCCUAGACAUUCCCAGAAGGAGGUUCCCAGAACUGAGGUUCAGCGCAUUAGACCAGCUGUUCCGAGUAAGCUGCAUGCAGGAAAACGGCGGUUGAGGCUGAAUUUUCACAGCAGUGCCUUUCUCCCCCUUUUAAAGCUGCAGGAAAAAGUGCUCUGAGGAACAGCCCCAAGAAAGUGGGGCGAAGGGCAGAAAAUAGGCUAUUUCCUGGCUCUGUGUAGUCAGAGGGUGAUGCCGCCCAGCCUUAGGCUCUGGGGGCUUUGCACCUGUCUGCAGUGCGUUGUAACAACCCCGUGCUGGCUGCUUCCUUGAAGGAUGGAUUCAAUAAACCCUGGAUUUCU
rnacentral:lncRNA from 1 species